rnacentral:rRNA from 1 species
AUUGAACGCUGGCGGCAGGCCUAACACAUGCAAGUCGAACGGUAACAGGAAACAGUUUGCUGUUUCGCUGAAGAGUGGCGGACGGGUGUGAAACGUCUGGGAAACUGCUUGAUGGAGGGGGAUAACUACUGGAAACGGUAGUUAAUCCCGCAUAACGUCGCAAGCCCAAAGAGGGGGAGCUUCGGGCCUCCUGUCAUUCGCUGUGCCCGGGUGGGAUUAGCUAGUAGGUGGGGUAACGGCUCACCUAGGCGACGAUCCCUAGCUGGUCUGAGAGGAUGACCAGCCACACUGGAACUGAGACACGGUCCAGACUCCUACGGGAGGCAGCAGUGGGGAAUAUUGCGCAAUGGGCGCAAGCCUGAUGCAGCCAUGCCGCGUGUAUGAAGAAGGCCUUCGGGUUGUAAAGUACUUUCAGCGGGGAGGAAGGGAGUAAUGUUAAUACCUUUACUCAUUGACGUUACCCGCAGAAGAAGCACCGGCUAACUCCGUG